rnacentral:rRNA from 1 species
GACGAACGCUGGCGGCAUGCCUAAUACAUGCAAGUCGAGCGAACAGAUGAAGUGCUUGCACUUCUGACGUUAGCGGCGAACGGGUGAGUAACACGUAAGGAAUCUACCUAUAAGCGGGGGAUAACAUUCGGAAACGGGUGCUAAUACCGCAUACUAUCUUCUUCCGCAUGGAAGAAGAUUGAAAGACGGCUCUGCUGUCACUUAUAGAUGACCUUGCGGUGCAUUAGUUAGUUGGUGGGGUAACGGCCUACCAAGACGAUGAUGCAUAGCCGACCUGAGAGGGUGAUCGGCCACAUUGGGACUGAGACACGGCACAAACUCCUACGGGAGGCAGCAGUAGGGAAUCUUCCGCAAUGGGCGAAAGCCUGACGGAGCAAUGCCGCGUGAGUGAAGAAGGCCUUCGGGUCGUAAAACUCUGUUAUAAGAGAAGAACAAAUUGUAGAGUAACUGCUACAGUCUUGACGGUAUCUUAUCAGAAAGCCACGGCUAACUACGUGCCAGCCGCCGCGGUAA